GGACCCCCCGGUGGUUUCUCCGGGGCUCCUUCAGGGGGCGUGGUCUGCGUGUUGAUACUGAGCAGCCGCCGCGUGCCAGCGCGCACGUGCUCCCAGCGCGGAACCGCUUCGGACGCCAGGAGGUCUCGCGCACGGUGGCUCGCGCCUCUGUCACGGUUGCCGGUCAACAGAAACUUGGCGGCGUCGGGACUUCGGAUCAACCGCCGCCGGCCGCUCGCUUCCUCCGCCGGUCGGGUCCCCCGCGAGCGCUUCCACUCUCCGCCAAUCAGCGCGCCGCGGAGCGUCAACAAAAGCCACGCCCUCUGUUCUCUGCGCGAGCUGGAACAUUUUGUUUAUGACUCCAAAAUAGUUGUUGCAGCGGCAUCACUUUCGGCGCGCUCACGCGUUAACGGCUGCGAACACGGCCAGGCAGGCGAAACCUCGAGCACGAACUUCACCCGCCGAGAGUUUAAGUAAUGACAGAAAAACACGUCCGCGCUUCACGCUUCCGCGCGGCAAGAAAGAAGUUAUGGAUAUUCGCCACGGAAAGAAGAGAAGAAAGGUAAGCGGCGGUCCGACCGUGAGCGCGAGGAUGAAGCGCGAGGCGGCCAGAGUCCUCCGCUCCCUCUCGGCGAAGAACAACACCCGCGUGGACGACGACGACGACGACGACUGCUUCUCCAUCAGCUUCCUCCGCUCCGGGGCCUCGCUGGUCGGCUCCCCGCGCUACAGCCUGCUGCGGGAGGUGGGCCGCGGCAGCUACGGGGUGGUGUACGAGGCCGUGGCCCGGAAGACGGGGGCCACGGUGGCCGUGAAGAGGCUCCAGUGCGACGCCCCGGAAAACGUGGAACUAGCUCUGGCCGAGUUCUGGGCCCUGACGAGCCUGGAGAACCGGCACCAGAACGUGGUCCAGCUGGAGGAGUGUGUGCUGCAGAGGAGCGGGCUGGCCCAGAAGAUGAGCCACGGGAACAAGCGGUCCCGGCAGUACCUGCGGCUGGUGGAGAUGUCCCUCAAAGGAGAACGUGUCCUCGGUUACCCGGAGGAGCCGUGCUACCUCUGGUUCGUCAUGGAGUUCUGCGAGGCCGGAGACCUCAACCAGUACAUCCUUUCUCGCCGACCCGACCCUCAGACCAACAAGAGCUUCAUGCGCCAGUUGACGAGUGCCAUUGCUUUCCUGCACAAGAACAACAUCGUUCACCGUGACCUGAAGCCAGACAACAUCCUCAUCUCCCAGAAGUCGGGUUCUCCCGUGCUCAAAGUGGCCGACUUCGGCCUCAGCAAGGUCUGCGCUGGCCUAAACACCAAGAGCAGCGAGGAACAUCCCGCCGUCAUGGCUGGCAGCAAAGGAGGCAACCAGAACAACGCCGUCAACCUCAACAAGUUCUGGUUGUCCUCAGCUUGUGGAUCAGACUUUUACAUGGCCCCCGAGGUUUGGGAGGGUCACUACACGGCUAAGGCGGACAUCUUCGCCCUGGGCAUCAUUAUCUGGGCCAUGAUCGAGCGGAUUACUUUCAUCGACGCCGAGUCAAAGCGUGAACUGCUGGGCACCUACAUCCGGCAGGGCACCGAGAUCGUCCCUGUAGGGGAGGCUCUGCUGGAGAACCCCAAGAUGGUCCUCCACAUCCCCCAGAGGGCCCGGAGCUCCAUGUCAGAGGGGGUGAGGAACCUGCUGCAGGACAUGCUGGCGGUCAACCCGCAGGACCGGCCGGACGCUUUCCAGCUGGAGAUGCGGAUGGACCAAGUCACGUGUGCCGCGUGACGGACUCCAGUACCCCACACUCCCCAUCCUAUCUUUGUUUUUUACCCUAACCAGUCCAAGAAGGGACCUCUCUCUUUCCCAGGCUCCUCCCUGUGCGGCGGCGUGGAGAAGGGACUCCAGCGAAGUGAACUGUGAAGACGCUGAACCUCAGACUGUACAUUCUCCCAAACAUCAGCCGGACUGCAGCACCCCCUCCCCCGCUGCGGUGGGCGGGGCCUCGGUGCUGAUGAUGUUUGGGUUCCCCGCGGCCGCUUUGACCCGCUCUUCCUUACGUGUGCACGUACUCGACUGUGAUGGGUGCAGACUGACCUGCACCGGCGCAUGUGCCCCUCCCCCCACGCCUCGUGCCUUAACCCCGCCCCCAAACACACACCAAGUGCGAUUGGGCCUUCAUGUGGAAGGAUGUGUGAACCCUUUCGUCUUUAGUUUUGAAUUCUGCACCUUUGAUGGAGCGGCCAUGAUGUCACGAUGAAUGUUCGAGCCCCGCCCCCUCAUCAAAGACAACAGUAUCAGGCUUCUCUAGAAGCAGAUAGUUUACCAUUGGGUGCCAUUAUUAAGGGAUGGGGGUGAUUUGACCCCCCCCCCACCAACCCCCCAACCAAACGACGUGAGCGCGUGGACCAGUCCUGCUGAAUCCAAAGAGCCGCCGCAGAGCCGCCGGCGUGCGCUCAGCAGACUAAAGGGAACCAGUCCAGAUGCUUUGAAUGUUUACCAGGUCUGACGUCGAUUCUCGGACCUUCUGGAAUCUGCAGCCAUCAGUGAUCAGGACCACGAGCGUAUUGACCCGUUGAAGCUUUCAGGAUCCCGUUUGAGGAUCUUCACAGGAAAUGAGAAGGUUGAGCAUCUGGAAAUCAUCUCCAGUGGCUGAAAAAGGAAAACUCCAGAGCGGAGCGGUCAGAGGAGGGAGGGUCCUCCACGCUCCAGCGCAGUCUGGCGUUCUCAGCUCCUCAGGUGGUAGCUGUAGGUUUAGAGGCGUGUUUGUCAUGUGACCUCAUUCACACUUCCUUAGAAAGUUUCUUCCUGGUUUCUGGAGCCCUUCUCCCAGCCGGGAUAGACUCUUACCUCACGCUCCGUUUUCUUUAACAAACCUUGAAGCAGCUUCCUUUAGCUCCAACUGUCUGCUUUGUUCUCUCCUCGGUGGUGAACAUGAGCUGAAACUUGGAGCAUCGGUCAGACGGCAGCCUCUCCAAAUCCACGGAGCUUCUCGCUUUUUGUCGUUAGAGUAGAAACAAACUAAAUAACCCAGAUCCAGACUCGGUUCUGGAUCGUAAACGCUCUCUUCCAAAAGAAGAUGCAAUAUUUUGUUUUUGUGCAAUUGUUGACAAGGGAAAGAAUAGUUUUGAAAAUGAAAAACCUUCAAAAUAUUUGUGACUUUAUUAUUUCAAACAGUAAAUUUUCACAGACGUUUUUUCAUGUUCGGGAGGUUCUGAAAAAAGCUGCUGUUUGACAAUCAGACGGUUCUGGUUUGGACCAAACGAAGCAGAGUUCACCGCGGCUGCUUCGGUCUUCUGGAUUCAGCCAAAGCUUUGAAGGGAAUCGGAGCUUCGGCCGAGCUGGACACGCUGGCUGCUGCCAGCCGUUAGAAUGUGAAGGUGUGCACUCGGGACGAGACGUCGCUCCCAACGUUUCUCCUGCUCGCGGCGUUUCUGUCUUCCUGAACCCGUCUCACUCCCAGCCCGUCUCACUCCCAGCCUCCCUUCCUGCUGCCACUGUGUCCUAUGAGCCAGUUGAUGUAGCUGUUGUCUGUUGAUGUUUCCACUUGAACACUUUACACUAUGCAACAGAAGGUUCACGCUGCACAGAACCACAGCCUCCUCCACGUUCUUUGACUCUUCGUGCAUAAUUCCAGUGUGGACAGAAACGUGUCAUUCUGUAAAACUGUUUUGUUAUUAAAGCUGACGGGAGCCAGUUAGAUGUUUGAGAAGCAUCGACUUUACUGUAAAUAUGUUUGACAACUUUUCUUGGAAUAAAAGAAAUUAAAAAAAAA